GGUACGAUCAUCAGUUAGUGUCUACAAUCUUCUUUCUCGGAAAAUAGGGGAUUUAUAUCAGCGUGCCAUCACUGCAAGGAAUCAACACCGUCUCAACGGCGGCAACAGCGGAUACAGAACAACUGAUGCGGCCUGAAGUGGACCUCAUUCAACCUUAAUUCCAGAAGCUGCUAAACAUGCCGUGGAAGCUGAUGCAAAAUCAAACAGUAAAGAGGAGGUUGCUCUGUGUUGCCAUUGUUGUAUGAAUAUAAUGCAACCUUCUCCUACUGUAUGAAGAAAAGUUUGUGCAUAACUGCAUACUUGCAGGAAUAGAAGAUAGAUAAAUAUGACCUUGGGUACAGAUUGUUGUGUAGAUAAAACUGACCUUGCUUACAGAUUUUGUUGUAUGUAUUUUUUUGUAUAGUUGACCGAGAUAGAUAGAAUAUGGUAGAAGAAAGAGGUGCAGAUUGUUGUAUGGCCAUAUUGUACAUGGUGAUCAUUGUUGUAUUUAUUUUACAUAGAUAGAAUAAUGAUGUAGAUAUAGAGGGUUUUCGCAUAUGUACCAAUUUUCAUAGGAACUAUGAUUAUGUAUGACUGGUAUAUGGUGCACAAAUCAGUCAUAUACUCAUUUA